rnacentral:rRNA from 1 species
GGCGGACGGGUGAGUAACACGUGGGCAACCUGCCUGUAAGACGGGGAUAACUCCGGGAAACCGGGGCUAAUACCGGAUAGAACCUAUUCUCGCAUGAGAAAAGGUGGAAAGAUGGCUUCGGCUAUCACUUACAGAUGGGCCCGCGGCGCAUUAGCUAGUUGGUGAGGUAACGGCUCACCAAGGCAACGAUGCGUAGCCGACCUGAGAGGGUGAUCGGCCACACUGGGACUGAGACACGGCCCAGACUCCUACGGGAGGCAGCAGUAGGGAAUCUUCCGCAAUGGACGAAAGUCUGACGGAGCAACGCCGCGUGAACGAAGAAGGUUUUCGGAUCGUAAAGUUCUGUUGUUAGGGAAGAACAAGUACCGUUCAAACAGGGCGGUACCUUGACGGUACCUAUCGAGGAAGCCCCGGCUAACUACGUGCCAGCAGCCGCGGUAAUACGUAGGGGGCAAGCGUUGUCCGGAAUUAUUGGGCGUAAAGCGCGCGUAGGCGGUUUCUUAAGUCUGAUGUGAAAUCUUGCGGCUCAACCGCAAGCGGUCAUUGUGAAACUG